rnacentral:lncRNA from 1 species
GAACAUUGACUUAUGUGUUAGAGGGCUCAGGUUUGAAUUCCGAUGAUUCGGUUAGCUUCGAGAGAUGAUUUGUGACUUAGGAGUGUGAUCGGAAGUAAUUUUGGAGGUUCGGUGUUGAAUUAGGCUUGAAUUGGCGAAGUUAGUAUUUUGGCAAAUUCCGGUUGAUAGGUGAGAUUUUGAUCCGGGUGUCGGAAUGAAAUUCCGAGAGUUGCUGUAGCUUCAUUGUGUCAUUUGGGAUAUGUGUGCAAAAUUUCAGGUCAUUCAGACAUCGUUUGGUCGGGGUUUUGAUCGAAUGUGUGUUUUAGAAGUUUUAAAAGAACUUAGGCUUGAAUUCGAUAUAAUUUGAUGAUUUUGGCGUUAGUUGAGGUGUUUUGACGAUUGGAGCAAGUUUGGAUAAUGUUUUAAGACAUGUUGGUGCUUUUAGUUGAGGUUCCGAGGGCCUCGGGUGGAUUUCGGAAGGUUAACGGAAUGGAAUUCGGACCCAAAAAGAAAAGAAAAAGCUGCUGCAAUUUCUGUUGCUAAGCUGUCUUUGGACAACAAAUGUGCAGUCGUGGAGUGUACUUCGGGAGCCUAUAUCUUUUGAUCUACAAGGAAUUUUGAGAUGAUUCAAAAAUGAAAGUUGUAGCCCUUCACGUCUAGUUUCCAGAAAGCUAAGGAAAUCGUAACUGUGACAUAUGUAGAGAAAGUUAUGAUCGAUUGAAGAUGACUGGUGGAGUAGUUUCUCCAGAAUUUUCUGAUUUCAUGGAACCGACUUUAGAAGCUCAUAUAUCGGGAUAUAUAAAGAGUUAUAUGGUGUACAACCUAUCAAAUUAAAGAUCUUCGAGUCUAUUUCUAAAUAUUCAAACCGUUUGUAAUUUGGAUAUUUAGACAAGAUGUUAUGGGUGUUUAAACAGAAGGUGUCCGACAAGGGAAAAUUUUAAUAGGAUGUACAACUUGUAUAGCAUAAGUGCAAGGUACAACUCGACGAAGCACGGACUAAUUCUUUAAACACGGAUUUGGCUUAUUUCUUUCAUUUCUUUCAGUUGGCUUGGAUGAUUUUGGAGAGAAUUUCAAGGGGGAUUUUAGCAAGCAUCAAAGGUGAGUUGUUCUACUUAUUUUCAAGUUAAAUACAAGAUUAUAUGUGAAUUAGAACAUGAAAAUCAGUAGAAAAGUGGGGUUUUAGGGCUUGUGCUUUUAAGAUUUUCUAGGGUCGAUUUGAAGGGUCAAACGAGCUCCGAUUUUUGUGUUCUUUAUAUGUACGGACUCGUGAGAGGACGAAGAACAUUUUGGUACAAAAAUUUAUAAGUUUUGAGAUGUGGGACCGGGGCUCGGGUUUCGCCAAAUUCGUUAAUUUUGAUAUUUUCGAGUGUUUUCGAUUGGGUAUUGUCCCUUUAGCAUAAUGAGACAUAUUCGUUGUGAUUUUGAGCAGAUUCGUCGCACGAGGAGGCUAAUUUGAGAGGCAAGGGUAUAGUGAGCUAGAGCUUUGGCCGGUUUGAGGUGAGUAAUUGAUGUAAAUGAUGUCCUGAGGGUUUGAAACCCCGGAAUUUCACAUCGUAACGCUAUAUUGAGGUGACUUGCCUGCCGGAUAACGGGCG